rnacentral:rRNA from 1 species
UACAGAGGUGGCAAGCGUUGUUCGGAAUUACUGGGCGUAAAGGGCGCGUAGGCGGUCUUCUAAGUUCCGUGUGAAAUCCCUCGGCUCAACUGGGGAACUGCACGGAAAACUGGGAGGCUUGAGUUCGGGAGAGGGAAGCGGAAUUCCGGGUGUAGCGGUGAAAUGCGUAGAUAUCCGGAGGAACACCGGUGGCGAAGGCGGCUUCCUGGACCGACACUGACGCUGAGGCGCGAAAGCUAGGGGAGCAAACGGG